rnacentral:misc_RNA from 1 species
GAGUGGUAUCCGCCGAACUAGGUUAAGAAUAGCCCUAAGAGUGAAAAUAAGUAGGAAAGUUGAAACUAGUAGAGUUGCUAGGAAUUUAACGGUGGACCUUGUGCAGGAGAAGGAAACUCUCCCGGCGUCGGUAUCUAUACGGAUGAGAGUUUGCAAGUCUUCAAUGGCAGCUCGGCCUGAGUGGAGGAAUUCUCGGAGCUUCAAGUGGAUGAGGUCCUUGAUUGAGUAGAAGGAUUUGGUAGGCAAAUUAUCGACGGUAAGGACAAAGUGGAGGUUUUGAUCGGACGGUGGAGUGUCUUCCGGGGAGAACUUUUUAAGAAAGGGGAAGCGGCGGCGGCGGAGAUGGCGUCGACGGUAAGGGGAGGGGGAGACUCGGCGAGAAAUGACGUGGUAGUGACAACAUCGUUUUGGAGAAGUGAAGCGGAUGGAAUUGGAAGGUGAGAGAGAGAUGGUAUAGAGAGAGAGGUUC